GAACGAACUCUGGUAUUGAUUGGUGCUUGCAUCAUGAUUUACAUUUGCGUUAGUGGCGAACUGGUGAGUAACACGUGGGAAACCUGCCCCGAAGCGGGGGAUAACACCUGGAAACAGAUGCUAAUACCGCAUAACAACUUGGACCGCAUGGUCCGAGCUUGAAAGAUGGCUUCGGCUAUCACUUCUGGAUGGUCCCGCGGCGUAUUAGCUAGAUGGUGAGGUAACGGCUCACCAUGGCAAUGAUACGUAGCCGACCUGAGAGGGUAAUCGGCCACAUUGGGACUGAGACACGGCCCAAACUCCUACGGGAGGCAGCAGUAGGGAAUCUUCCACAAUGGACGAAAGUCUGAUGGAGCAACGCCGCGUGAGUGAAGAAGGGUUUCGGCUCGUAAAACUCUGUUGUUAAAGAAGAACAUAUCUGAGAGUAACUGUUCAGGUAUUGACGGUAUUUAACCAGAAAGCCACGGCUAACUACGUGCCAGCAGCCGCGGUAAUACGUAGGUGGCAAGCGUUGUCCGGAUUUAUUGGGCGUAAAGCGAGCGCAGGCGGUUUUUUAAGUCUGAUGUGAAAGCCUUCGGCUCAACCGAAGAAGUGCAUCGGAAACUGGGAAACUUGAGUGCAGAAGAGGACAGUGGAACUCCAUGUGUAGCGGUGAAAUGCGUAGAUAUAUGGAAGAACACCAGUGGCGAAGGCGGCUGUCUGGUCUGUAACUGACGCUGAGGCUCGAAAGUAUGGGUAGCAAACAGGAUUAGAUACCCUGGUAGUCCAUACCGUAAACGAUGAAUGCUAAGUGUUGGAGGGUUUCCGCCCUUCAGUGCUGCAGCUAACGCAUUAAGCA
rnacentral:rRNA from 1 species